CCUACGGGUGGCAGCAGUGAGGAAUAUUGGUCAAUGGGCGCGAGCCUGAACCAGCCAAGUAGCGUGAAGGAUGACUGCCCUACGGGUUGUAAACUUCUUUUAUAAAGGAAUAAAGUGAGGCACGUGUGCCUGUAUGUAGGUACUUUAUGAAUAAGGAUCGGCUAACUCCGUGCCAGCAGCCGCGGUAAUACGGAGGAUCCGAGCGUUAUCCGGAUUUAUUGGGUUUAAAGGGAGCGUAGAUGGGUUGUUAAGUCAGGUGUGAAAGUUUGAGGCUCAACCGUAAAAUUGCAAUUGAUACUGGGAGUCUUGAGUAUAGUUGAGGUAGGCGGAAUUCGUGGUGUAGCGGUGAAAUGCUUAGAUAUCACGAAGAACUCCGAUUGCGAAGGCAGCUUACUAAACUGCAACUGACAUUGAUGCUCGAAAGUGUGGGUAUCAAACAGGAUUAGAUACCCUAGUAGUC
rnacentral:rRNA from 1 species